ensembl:snRNA U6 U6 spliceosomal RNA
GUGCUUGGUUCAGCAGCACAUAUACUAACAUUGGAAUGAUACAGAGAAGAUUAUCAUGGCCCCUGCGCAAGGAUGACAUGCAAAUUCAUGAAGCAUUCCAUAUUUUU